GAAUCAACUAAAAUGAGAGAGAACACCAAACUUGCAUAUAUGAAUUAGUAUAUAGAUGCUGUCCAAUCUUGAUUGAGAAGUAAUUAAAGCAAAAGCAGCAUAAAUAGAACUUUGAGAGGAGAUCAAGAUCGAAAACGUAACAAGAUAUAUAUAUAUAUAUACACACAUAAUAAUGGAAGUUGUGGGGAGACUCCGGGAAGUGGAAGGAUCUGAGAAUGAUCCAAAGAUGAAAGAGCUCGCUCGUUUCGUUAUCGAUGAACAUAACAAGAAAAAAGGUGAGCGGUGUCUGGCACUUGUUAAGGUAAUUGGAGUGUUUCAAGAAGAGGUGGUUUCUGGUAUUAUGUACUCUAUGCAAUUCCAUGCACUAGACGUGGAUCAGGUUAAAAUCUUUCUUUGCGGUGCUGGAGUUUUGGUCAACUCAGAAGACAACUCAAAGGAGGGUGACUAUUUAUUACCUUUUAAAGAAGUCUAAGGAUGACGAUAAUAGGAUGCUUACUUAUGCAUACUUCCUAGAAGUUCAAAUCGACGGCUUAACAUGGGAAUUGAUUAACUAGUGGAGCCAAGUUCAUUUUCAAAUAUAAUGCCUAAGUUGUGAAUCACGUCUUUAUUUUAUUAGUUACUUAAGUACUAUAUCGUAUUAUGUUGAAAGUAAUGCGCAUGUUGUAUUGAAUAGUAAACGUAUAUUGCUUUUGUAUUAAUCAUGUUAAUUUUAUUAUAAAUACUUUUAAAUACACUUUUAUAUACCUUGUAUUUUAAAA